rnacentral:misc_RNA from 1 species
UUGUUGUUGCUUAGAUCGAGCUCGUAAAAGUAUUUGAUAUUUUCAACUCCUAUAUCAUCUGGCACAGACCCUUUGAAUUUGUUGGAGUUUGCGUGGAAGAUAGCCAAGUCCACCAAUUUAUCAAGUAGACCUUUAGUCUGAAGGUCAGGACCAGAAAAAUUGUAACCAUUGAAGUCUGCUGCCUGCUACAGAUAGCCGUUUAAAGUCAGGCCUAUAAUCACAUGCAAAGCCUUCAUAUUUACAGACAUUUCUGUCCGCCCUGUUCCAUGUUUUUGUUAUGCCCAUG